UUUUACGCUUACGUAGUAGUAAAAUGGUGCUUUCCUGAAGAUUUCGAAACCGUUUUUAGCAUUUUUAAACUCAAAAUUGGAAUAUGUCCAGGUACCUAUGAAGAUCUAAUCUAGGAAUGAACCUGAAUUAGCACGGGGUGCUGUCCAGCGAUUCUAAAGCACCCAGCACCACCAGCGGUGAAGUACAGUUCGUGCCGUCCGCCCGAUUCCAACCUUUAGG